rnacentral:piRNA from 1 species
UCAGACGUUUUGGUGACAUUUUGUUU